rnacentral:rRNA from 1 species
CAAUAGCGUAUAUUAAAGUUGUUGCGGUUAAAAAGCUUGUAGUUGGAUCUCGGCAGGCAGGGGGUGGUUCGCUCUUAGCGCUACUGCCCCAUUUGCCUGUGUGAUUGGCGGAGGUUUCGGGGUGCUCUUCGUUGAGUGACCCGGGGCGCCGUCAGGUUUACUUUGAAAAAAUUAGAGUGCUCAAAGCAGGCUUUUCACGCUUGAAUAUUCGUGCAUGGAAUAAUGGAAUAGGAACUCGUUUCUAUUUUGUUGGUUUUCGGAAAUCGAGUUAAUGAUUAAUAGGGACAAUUGGGGGCAUUAGUAUUCAGACGACAGAGGUGAAAUUCUUGGACCGUCUGAAGACUAACUGCUGCGAAAGCAUUUGCCAAGAGUGUUUUCAUUAA